rnacentral:misc_RNA from 1 species
GAUGAAGAACGUAGCGAAAUGCGAUAAGUAAUGUGAAUUGCAGAAUUCAGUGAAUCAUCGAAUCUUUGAACGCACAUUGCGCCCGCCAGUAUUCUGGCGGGCAUGCCUGUUCGAGCGUCAUUUCAACCAUCAAGCCCCAGGCUUGUGUUGGAGCCCUGCGGCUGCCGCAGCCUCCCAAAACCAGUGGCGGGCUCGCUAUCACACCGAGUGCAGUAGUUUACUCUUCGCUCAGGGCGUGUGGCGGGUGCUAGCCGUAAAACCCCCAACUUCUCAAGGUUGACCUCGGAUCAGGUAGGAAUACCCGCUGAACUUAAGCAUAUAAUAGCGGAGGA